rnacentral:tRNA from 1 species
CCAAUAAAAAGGGUUGAUCGAAUCCAGACUUAUCCCUACAUUAGGAUCAUGUGCUAGCAGCUAAAUGGAAUGCAUC